rnacentral:lncRNA from 1 species
UCAGAACCAGGAACCCUAGCCGCCAUUACCGAAAGCGGUGGGCGAGCCGCCGCACCGGUGUAUCGGCCACAUUGUGGACUAUUUCAUUGGCAACCAAGGGGAGGGGUCGGGAGCUAUCGGUUUGGUAAAGCGAAGUCAUGCAUUGCAUCGUCAAUUCGAGCCUCGGCUAGAAACGCUACUCAUCCGCCGCCGGCUCAAGUCAAACGUCGCGGAGCCACUGCUCGACGCCGCGGGGACAACCUACUACAUUUGGUGCGGUAAGCUUGUCCCUGUCGUGUUUGCCCCUUGGCUAGUAUCUUACCGCGCCCACGUUUUACGGAAUUGAGGCACCAGGGGGCUGUGAAUUCGUCGCCGGGGCUACUCCGGCAUCCCAUGGCCGCACCAUGAUGUGGGUUGUGGCGCGUCGUGUCUGAUUGUGGAAAUUGAGGGUAAGGACGAAUUCGCCAUGUACUGCUCGAAGUACAGGAACCGGGAGGGUCGCGCUUGGGCCAGACCGCCAGACUCUGGCGGGUGCUCGCCGUGGUUGGCGGUGGCGCCGCCGUGCUACUCGAAUGGUAGGGGGAGGCUCUUGGGUGCCGUUGAUCGGCGCGCCAAUGGCCAAGAUUGGGCGGAUCCGCGUUUCUUUUAAGGUUGGUGUCACCCGUCCGAUCUGGACGGACAGGAUCUGGGGCGCAUAGAAUAUCCACCGUAGGUUGAAUGAUCAACGCUACUGAUUAGGUCCUAGCAUACCGUUUUGGUUGGGCUCGUCCGAGCUGCCGAUCAACGAUCGGAUGAUCGCAGGGCAAUCCCCGCGGUAUAGAAUCGCGACCGUUAGAUCUAGAUCCAGGGGGCGGCGUUGCGUACCAGUUCAUAAUACCUAAGACUUAAUCGUAACGGUAUGUUGAUGAUCUAACGACUUAGCUAGUCUCAUACCCUUUCGAUCUGGCGACUUUGCAAAAUAAACCUUGAUGUCCUAGUGAUUCAACCUGCAGUCCACCUUCAUACACAGAACCUUACAAUUAGUCCCGGAAUUUUAUGAAAUUGACCAUGUACUUCCUUCAAAAUAGUAUUCGUAAUCCACUGAAUUUGGUGUAUUAAUAAAAUAAAUUCAAAAAGGACUUCUAGUGUAAAAUUAAUUCCAGAAACUAGUUUAAAUCAUAAGUAAUUCAUUUCAAUUCCUUUUUGAUCCAUUCCAAUUGCAUCAAUUUCGUAUUGAUAUUGUUUAUCACCUAGUAACUCUAUUUUAUCAUGAAACAUAGAUUAAAAUUAUCCACUUAGUUUGUUCUAAACCAAACACUUAAAACUUCGGAAAAUCAUAACUCUUUAACCAUAACUUCGAAUUUAGUGAUUCUUGAACCUAAGAUCUCAUAACGAUGCGUAGAACAUUAUUAUGCAGUAUGUUCUCAUGUUUGGUGUGAUGUUAAUUUCUCCUGUACUAUUUUGUUUGUAUUGCUUCGAGUAGACGAGCAAGUGACCGAGGACCUCGGUACCCAGCAGGUGGAAAACACUGAGCAGGAGCUCAUUAAAGGCAAGUUGUGCUCUUGACCACUUUUAUUUACCCAAUAAUGUUCUCUAUAAUCAUUUUUGGCAUGCUUAGGCUUAAUUUUGAUGGGACACAAUAGGUUACCCUAGUUUGGUCAUCUUUAUACCUUGUUUACCACUGAACUUUUUGGGUAGUAUCUGAUAUUGCUAUAUGUGGUUUUGGGUGUUAAGAUAAUUAUCAUUCAUGAUCAUGCUUUAUUAUUGUUGUUCUAUUUUGUCCAUAAUAAGACUAUUAUGUUAAUUGGAACAUGGAACUUAACUUGAGAAACACGUGCCACCACAAGGGUGGAAUGGGAUGCCCUUGGCUGACUAAUUAGGAAAGCUAGUGGAUGUCUACCUUACCCAAAAGGGCAAGGGCAGUAGGGGAGUUGUCGAUGUAGGGAGGUUCUCGGGUUGAUUUUGCUACGAUGGUUUUUCAGAUGAGGGAUUCCUACAUUGCGCUCCCUAGAACUGUAGCGGGUUUUCUGAAGCUAGUAGAACUUUGUAAAGGACUCGUAGUGUUACCCUGCCUGGCUUCCUUGGUAGAGGUGUAUGGGGCCCGUACAACCACGUGGCAAAUGGGUAACAUGACUUGUGGGUAAAGGUACAACCUCUGCAGAGUGUAAUACUGGUAUAUUAGACGUGCUCGCGGUCAUGAGCAGCUCAGAACUCUCGCAUGAUUAACUUAUGGAAUUAAACUUAAUUUGUCAUUUGCAUCGCAUUGUGGUUUUAUUAUUAAUUUUGAUCUAUUAUUACUCUGGUUUGGUAUAUACUUACAUUUAGUAACUGCUAAUAACUUUUGACCAACUUAUUAAAAGCAAUGCUCAGCUUUAACCCUUAUUUGUUGAUCAGCCUUACACUUCACAUGAGCUCCCACCUUUGGUGAGUUCAUACACAUUAUUCCCCACAACUUGUUGAGCUAUGAUUUUUUGUGAGCUCACCCUUGCGAUAUAUAACCCCCCCCCAACAGGUGAAGAGCAGGUAGCCCAGGAGGAGGUCUACAACAAGGAGUACGAGCUUAUCUAGGUGGCGUCUUCGAG